rnacentral:rRNA from 1 species
GACAGAGGGUGCAAACGUUGUUCGGAAUUACUGGGCGUAAAGCGCGUGUAGGCGGCUUCGCAAGUCGGGUGUGAAAUCCCACGGCUCAACCGUGGAAGUGCAUUCGAAACUGCGAGGCUAGAGUCCUGGAGAGGAAGGUGGAAUGCUUGGUGUAGAGGUGAAAUUCGUAGAUAUCAAGCGGAACACCGGUGGCGAAGGCGGCCUUCUGGACAGUGACUGACGCUGAGACGCGAAAGCGUGGGGAGCAAACAGG